rnacentral:lncRNA from 1 species
GUCCUUGGGGUGGAGGUACUGCACCUCGCCGCUGGGGAAGACGCGGUAGAACUGGUAGGCGAUCUUGUACUUGGAGCGGAGCCGGUUGCCGAGCGCCAGGCACUGCUCCUUGCGCGCCAGCUUGAGGAGGUUGGGCCCCUCACGCAUGAUGGCGGCGCCGCCCGUCGGCAUCUCGAACACCUGCUCCUUGGGCGACGUCCACGUGAUGACGUAGAAUUCCUCGACCUGGGCUUUGCGGAGGAGCCCGCCCGUGCUGCCGCCGAAGAUUGGGGAUGGGGUUGAGGGGUCGAGCUGGGGCGGGACGAAGCCGGCGGGGGCUGGGGUGGCGACGGGAGCCGCCGGGGUUUCUGGGGCGGCGGCGUGGAGGGCGGUUGGGGCGCGGGAGGUGGGGGAAGGGAAGGCGAGGGAGCGGGGUUUGGGGGAGGAGGAAGGGGACCGGGUGGCGGCGAGGAGGUGGCGGGUGGCGGCGGAGGCUUGCGUGGCCAUGGCCAUGGCGGGAGCUAGCUUAGCGAGAGCAAGGAGCGCGCGUGUGGGGGAUGGAUAUGGAUCGGAGUUGAUGGAGGGAAGAAGAAGAAGGGGUGGCUGAGCUUUGGCUAAAGAGGGGAUUGGGGGUGGAGAAGCGGAUAAGGGGAUAUGAGGCCGGCCAAUGGGGAGCCCGGGUUUUGAUACGGCCGGAGCGGGAGGCUUGGCGUGGCGACCACAGAAAACACAAUACAAAUCGCAGCGUGUCAACGUGCACUGGGGUCGCCGGUCGCGGUUUUCCGUGGAUUUUCCUUCCACUCUGUAUGUAUCCGACGACGUUCUAGAUCUUUUCCGUAAAGAGUUGCUUUAGUCGAUUUAAGGUGAGAGCAUUGGAAGCACUACAUGUAACGUGAAACACUGGCGUAACGUAAGUUGUAUUGCU